CCCCUUCUCCUCUAGCAGGAGGAGCACGAGCCAAGGCGUGCCACCUCCGGUUCUUCAAUGCUUCUAACGGCUACCUCCGCAGCAUUCCAUUCGAUCGUCCGUCCGAUUGAAUCCCUUGCUCUAGCCGCUAGGUACCAGCAGCAUUCCGUUGGUUUAUUUUAUGUAUAAUAGUGUGAUAAAACAGUGAUGUGUAUGCAGAUCUAACAGUAUAUGAUACUUUUGAUUGUAGUAUAGGUAAUCAGGCCUUUUUGGUGCAUAUACCUAGCUCUGAUUGGUUAUGUGGUUUCUCUAAUUAUUCAAAAUUAACCGAAUUAAUGUGACGUUGUUUGAAAUUUUAAUUGAGAGUAAACAUUCACAGAGACCUAAUUAGGAUUGACUAAACUGCUCUUAUGUAUAUAUGUUUGUUACUUCCUUUACAUGUUGUUCUUAUCUCGCUGAACAUGGUGGUGCUAUUGUGAGGAUCUCAUGUCUCUCUCACCCUUAUGUGUUUAUCUCUGUUGGUCCCGUUCCCCUUUUUGCUAAUCAGUAAUCACUCAUGCCUGCUAGAUCCACUAAGGUUUUUCUUGGUUUUUUAGUUGUGGAUUACUGUUAAGAAUGAUUGCCCUUAUUAAUAAGGAUUUAAAUGUGUUGUUCCAGAUCCACAUGGGUUGGUUUUGAGUUAUUUGUUUGGGUUAGAAAAUUGUCAAAGUAUGCAUAUAUUAACAUUUAGAGAAAACUUUGCAUGUGUUUAUUCUGGGUUGUAGUUCAGAGAGCGCUUCCAUGUCGUCGUGAGUGCUGGGUGCUACUCUGACAUGCUUGGGUUGUAGUUCAGAGAGAAAUUCUGCCAUAUUACAUUACCAUGGAUAACAUGUAUUAAUCUGUUAAGCUUUUCUUGCUACAUAGGGCUGCUUGUAGACUCGGUAUGAUUUAGUUGAUUGUUGGUUCUUGUGCCUAGGACCAGAUCGGUCCUUUGCUGUUAUCUAUGGCUUUAGUAGCUUAAUAUCACCUAUUCCUUUUAUGGUGCAUGCCCUAUGUGGAAGACUUGUGUAAAUGUAUACCUUGCAAGGUACUGUUUACUCAUGGUUCGGUUUAGGGGACUCGGAGCACCGGAUUGACUGAUGACAGGAUUUUGGUUGCGCAGAUGAGCUGGAGAUGUCGGAUGUGUCCACGGUGUUGAAUGUGCCUCAGGAUCUGAAUGAACUGCAGGCUAGGCAUACCACUCUCUUGUCCAGCGCCGUUCUUUGUGUGUGUGCC
rnacentral:lncRNA from 1 species